GUCUCAAAUCUUUUUGAGGAAUUACAGCUAAAAAUCUACUUUGCAUACAGUACAUCCUCUGAUAAAUAAAGUGAAGUACUUUGAUUGCAUUUCUGUGGUGUUCCUGUAGGUGACCAUGAUGCAGCCAGACUGAAGCAGCACGUUGUGAAGGUGGACGCCAUCAUCUUGUCUUUGCAGCGCUGAUUCUGAAGAGCAUGUCUUCACAUAGGACUCAAAGGAAAUCAGUGCUCAAAGGAAACAGCAGUCCAGACUCUGAUUCCAGCUCUGAAGACGCCCUCAGAUUCAGAUCCAUCAGCAACCCCUGACAACAUGGAGGACUCGUCCCCUGAGUGUUUCCUGUCCUCUCUCGAUGGAGUUCUUCUCUUCAGUUAUUAACUCUUGAAAUCAGCAGCACAACAUGCCAGACUGUUUGACAAGUCUGUGAUUGAAUAAAUGGAAAUGGAAUCUCA